UUAAUUAUCAAUUUAGCAAACAAAUGCAAUAGAUUUAGAAUCUAAAAACACUAAA
rnacentral:tRNA from 1 species